rnacentral:rRNA from 1 species
GACAGAGGCCUCAAGCGUUAUGCGGAAUCACUGGGCUUAAAGCGUGUGUAGGCGGUUCGUUAAGUGUCUUGUGAAAUCCCACGGCUCACCCGUGGAACUGCUGGGCAUACUGGCGAUCUUGGGCAAACUAGGGGCAACUGGAACAAGCGGUGGAGCGGUGAAAUGCGUAGAUAUCGCUUGGAACGCCGAAGGUGAAAACAGGUUGCUGGGGUUGUGCCGACGCUGAGACACGAAAGCCAGGGGAGCAAACGGG